AUUUCUUAAAUUUUUAAUAGUUUAUUUUCAUAAGAUCAUGAAGAAGUAACAAGAAGAACAAAAGUACAUAUUUACAGCGACAUUAAAGCAGCAUUAGCAGCAGAGUACAUAGAGAGUCCUCUGUACUCAGUACACAAGUGAAAGUACAUAACAACCGGUCAGAAUUAUCCUGGAUUUAAAUAAAGUUAUCUCAUCUCAAAUCAGCGACAGAGGGAGAGGGAGUCUACGCACAAACUAAAGGCGAUGUAAGAAAAACAAAGGCUCUAGUUAUCAGUCUAGAUGAGAAAAUAGUCGGGCCCGACAAAGGAUCCGCACUUGGGAAAAUCCUGCGGUGG